rnacentral:tRNA from 1 species
GCAACAAAAUCCAAAUUUUGAAAUUUAGGUGUGUUUCCGUUAAAAAGUAAUU